rnacentral:rRNA from 1 species
UCCUACGGGGGGCAGCAGUGGGGAAUUUUGCGCAAUGGGCGCAAGCCUGACGCAGCAACGCCGCGUGAGUGAUGAAGGUCUUCGGAUCGUAAAGCUCUGUCGGCAGGAACGAUGCGCUCGCUGGCUAACAUCCAGCGGGUCUGACGGUACCUGCAAAGGAAGCACCGGCUAACUCUGUGCCAGCAGCCGCGGUAAGACAGAGGGUGCGAGCGUUGUUCGGAAUCAUUGGGCGUAAAGCGCACGUAGGCGGCUUGGUAUGUCGGGUGUGAAAGCCCCGGGCUUAACCCGGGAAGUGCACCCGAAACUACUUUGCUUGAGUGCCGGAGAGGGUGGCGGAAUUCCCAGUGUAGAGGUGAAAUUCGUAGAUAUUGGGAGGAACACCCGUGGCGAAGGCGACCACCUGGACGGACACUGACGCUGAGGUGCGAAAGCGUGGGGAGCAAACAGGAUUAGAUACCCGGGUAGUCUC